UCAGAAGAGAGAGGAAAUAACUGUUGCAAAACCAACUUUCCAAGAUAACCCUCAUCCUUAUAUCAUGCCACCCUUUACCCUGCAAUGGUUUUCGACUGGGCAUUUGCCAAUCCAUCUUCUCUCUAGUAGUCACUCGUCGCUUGUCUUCUUCGAUCCUCUCCUCUCCUCUCAAAAUUAAUCUUCUUUCAUUUUUUCUCUCUUUUAAAAAACUAUUACUUGUCCAAAAUUGAACCUGCCCGAUUCUUUUCUGUAAGCUAUCUGCAGAUUUGUGUUGUUUGUGGAGGCUCAAUAACAAGAAUGACCCGAAAACUACAAAGAACAAACAGAGAAGGUGUUGUGAAGCAGGUAAUGUAGUUGCUUCUUUACAGAUCUUUAACUGAAUAUCUAUUUUAAUUACACAAAAUCGAAACUUAGGGUGUUGUUGAUUGAGUUAUUUACAUUAUAUUUUAGGCUAAAUCUUUAACAUAUCAAUCAUUGCAACAAGCUAAUGUUCAAACUUGUUUCAUUUAUAGAAUUGUAUUUUUCAUCCAAUCAAAAACCAGAAUUUUAUUUCAUUUUCUCCAUGCUAAGAUUCAAAGUAAGAACAUUGAUAAGUGAUAGGGGUUCAGGCAACAUACUCUAUUUCCAUACUCACUGUAGACCUCUAGUUUUAAUGUUCUGGUGUCCUGGACCUACCCCGUGAGUGUGUAGGACAAUAAAUGGGUUUAACAUGAGCUCAUUGUCCCACAUUUCGAAUGGAUUUUGAACUUUUUUAGUCCCUGCCCAUCACUGCAUAUUGUGGUUAGUGAACUUAUGUUUCAUUACUUGUAAUUAAUGGCUAAGAGAUCGGGUCUGAAAGAAACAAAUUUGAUAUUUAAAUUGCUUACAUGUUUGUCAUACAAGGAAAACUAAAGCAAGAACAAGAAGGGAUCAGUUUGAAUAUGCUUGUGCAUUAUUGGAUAUCAUCUGCUUUUGAAGCUCUUAUUUAUGAGUGUUGGCCCCCAACAAAAUAUGAUAAUAACUAAGGUAAUUCAGGCUCACCAUUCGUUAAACUUUGUUGCAGCUACUAGAGAUGAUUGCUCCUUUAAUUUUGGCUGUCUUUGUUGACUUGUGACUAGUGAGGAGCCAGACAUGUCAUAAUCAUGGAUUAAUAAAACUAAGAAAUCAUCAACUCACUAGGGGGUUUUCGAAUUAGUCAUUGCUCAUUAAUGAAACUGUAGAAUUAUACAGUCACUGGUUUAUCUUAUACAGCUUUUGCAUGUUGUGUUGUUGUUUUGUUCUUUUUAAGAAGGAAAGGGCUCGGUUCCAUAACAAAGGAAUAUUUUAUGACCUGCAGUUCUUACUUAGUUAAUGUUAUUAUUUGGUGUUAGUGUUUAAUCUUACAGCUAAUGCUUAAAUUAUUGUCUAUACAAAAUGACAUUGGUUGUUUGCUUUCAAAUAUGUUAUUGAACUAGGAAUAAUAGGUCCUUAAAUUAUGGAUAAAGUUACUUGGACUAAGGAAAUGUUGCAUAUUGUUUGUGAUAUUUACAUCAAGACCAUCGACAUGGUAAUGAGACCAAAUACUCAUUUCAAUAAAGCUGGUAGGAAAUCUCUAUUGACAUCCUUCAAAGAACAAAUUAGCCUUAUAUUCACCAAGUCACAACUGCAAAACAAAUGAGAUGGCUACAAGAAGGAUUGGAGGAUGUGGACAGAGCUGAUUUCUGAAACUAGUGUUGGUUGGAGCAACUAUCUCUAUAAGUGAUUAGUGAUGGAAAACAAAAAUUCAGGAAAUAAGAGAAGAAAAAAUAUCUAGGCAGGCUGGUACCGAACCAUCUUUAUGGUUUAAGUUUUCUCAACCAUCGUUGCUACUAGACAUUACGUGUGGGCACCAUCUUUCAAAGUCUUGUGUGAUGAUGAUGCUGGUGAUGAUAGCAACCACAAUGCCAAUGUUGAUGAGCCUAAUUUGGAAGAAAACGGUGAUUCUGAGAAGGAUGGCAUUUCAAAUUUUAUGGAUGAUAUUUGUAAAAUAAUUGGCGUGGUUAAAAUGUCCAGCAAAAGUAACACAAGAGAAAAUAAAAAAUAAUAUUUUGAGGUUUAAGAUGGGAAAAAAGCCUUAUAAAAUCGGAUUACAGCUGCUGUCAUGUUGGGAUCAACUAGUUGACAGCAUGUCCACCAAACGUGAUUCAACAUCUUUUAGCAUGGAUAGGAAACGGUGUCAUAUUCUUGAGGUUAUGGCAGAGCUUCACUUCAUUGAAGAAGUUACCAUAGGAGAUGAAUUUCAUGCCAUUACUACUGAGUAUUUGAGUUUAAAAAGGAAGAGAGAAAUGUGAGCAAGUAUGGGAGAUCUUCAAAAGAAGCUUAAAUGGAUACAGAGAAUGUAUGAGUGAAUAAACCUGUUUAGAUCGGGAGAUUGAUAUGGUGGCUGUGUUGACAAGAUGAUCGCCAAUAUCAUGAUUUCUUCAUGUUAGUCUAAAAUUCUGUAAUUUGACAUUUAAAUCCAUCAAUUGUUGGCAGCUGUAUUCGGUUAAGUUUUAGUGUAUUAGGAUUUAUAGAAGGUAGAUUAGUUUGUUAAAUCUUUUCUGUGUUUGUCAAUUGUUGAGUAUGAUGAGCGUGGUAGCUGUUAACAUGUAAUUUCUGAGAAUAAUUGUGAAAAAUCUCUAUGUUAUUUGUCCUUGCCGAUCAUAAA